GCGGUGGACGGGUGAUGUAAUUGUAGGGGAUCUGCCUGAUGGAGGGGGAUAACUACUGGAAACGGUAGCUAAUACCGUCAUAAUGUCUUCUGGACCAAAGCUGGGGGACCUUCGGGCCUCGCGCCAUCAGAUGAACCCAUAUGGGAUUAGCUUGUAGGAGAGGUAACGGUCACCUAGAGCGACGAUCCCUAGCUGGUCUGAGAGGAUGAUCAGGCACACUGGGACUGAGACACGGCCAACUCCUACGGGAGGCAGCAGUGGGGAAUAUUGGACAAUGGGCGCAAGCCUGAUGCAGCCAUGCCGGUGUAUGAAGAAGGGCUUCGGGUUGUAAAGUACUUUCAGGUCGGGAGGAAGGUGGUAAGGUUAAUAANCUUAUCAAUUGACGUUACCGACAGAAGAAGCACCGGGCUAACUCCGUGCCAGCAAGCCGCGGUAAUACGGAUCUGGUGCAAGGCGUUAAUCCGGAAUUACUGGGCGUAAAGCGCACGCAGGGCGGAUGGAAUAUGACGAUCAGAUGUGGAAAAAUUUCCCCCCGGGGGGGACUUUUUAAAAACCCCGGGGGGAAAAUAUAGGGCAAUUUCUAGGAAUACAGUAGGUUCA
rnacentral:rRNA from 1 species